UGUAGGGGCGCUAUUGUCAUUUAGAAAAUGACGACGUUCUCUAUACAAGGGGAUUUGCAAUUAGGGUUACACAUGUUGUGACUGCUCCUGGUGCGUGGAGACAUGGCGGCCACUUUCCUCCUGCCUUCGGUUGGACGGAAAUAGCAUCCGCUCCAGUACUUGAUGGAUCGGUUCAUGUGGAAUGCACGGGUUUUUUCAUCUCACCAAUGCAACCCAUGAGUUGAGGCUGAGAAUGGGCCCACAAGGAAACGUGGCUAAACUCAGUUGAGAGUUCAGACUUGAGAAUCUGUGACAGAAAGCAAUGAAGCAAAGGCUGGACGGAAACUAGUUCCCUGAAUGCAAUGAAAGUAGAUGCAAGUGUGAAUGCUUCUACGCAAUGUGGGAGAGGGAAUGCAUCUUAUGGGACAUGCUCAUUUCAGUUGAGCCUAAAAUUAAUUGGACCAGUGCAGACAGUUUAACGUUUCAGUGAAUACACAAUGUUACUUCCAUCUAAUCAAAGUCACCCCUGAUCUUGAUCUUAUUCUACUCAACCAUGCUUUGGGCAGUUGUUUGUUACUCCCACAAUCUACGCUCCCUGGCGGACUAGUUUUGACGUUGUCCUCGGAGGCUUGCCGCUUUUGUCACCAAAACAUAAUUGAGACAGAAAUGUGUUGCAUAAACAAAACUUUCCCUUUUCCCUCUUAGCUAGCUUCUGAUUUAAAGUCUUUCUCAAGGCAUUUUCCAGUAUUCGUAAGAAUCUUUUAUCAUUUGAAGGGUAAGUAUAAAAUAAAAAAUAAUAUUUUAACAUAAUUUAUUUUUGUGUACUUGUAAUAUGUUACUUCAAUCGAAAUUUAAAUUUAAAUAAAAAUUUA